GUAGGGAAUAUUGGGCAAUGGAGGCAACUCUGACCCAGCCAUGCCGCGUGCAGGAUGACGGCCCUCUGGGUUGUAAACUGCUUUUAUACGGGAAGAAAAAAUACUACGUGUAGUAUACUGACGGUACCGUAAGAAUAAGGAUCGGCUAACUCCGUGCCAGCAGCCGCGGUAAUACGGAGGAUCCAAGCGUUGCUCGGAUUUAUUGGGUUUAAAGGGUGCGGAGGCGGAUCUUUAAGUCAGUGGUGAAAGCCUUCAGCUUAACUGUAGAAUUGCCAUUGAAACUGAAGAUCUUGAAUGUGGUUAAAGUAGGCGGAAUGUAUCAUGUAGCGGUGAAAUGCUUAGAUAUGAUACAGAACACCGAUAGCGAAGGCAGCUUGCUGAACCAUUAUUGACGCUGAGGCACGAAAGCGUGGGGAGCGAACAGGAUUAGAAACCCCAGUAGUCC
rnacentral:rRNA from 1 species